rnacentral:tRNA from 1 species
UCCGUCGUAGUCUUGGUGGUUAGCAUACUCGGCUCUCACCCGAGAGACCCGGGUUCAAGUCCUGGCGAAAGAA